AUACGCCCAUUUAAGAACUGGCUAACAAGGUAGCAAUGGAGUUAUUCUCCCUAAUGUCAUGGCUGAGUCAGCAAAAAAGAAGCUGAAAGCUAGGAAAGCAUUUUUGGAGGAAAAGAGGAAGAGGAAAUGGCAGACUGACCGAGGGAGGAGUCGGACACAAGUAAACGCAGGAGCUGCCAAAUAUCUAUUCCAAAGCUGUAGGGGGCGCUCUAUAGAGACACCUGCGGCAAAAACCGAGAAAACAGCAAAGAAAUGGCCCAAACUGUAUAGCGCCCCUUUAAUACUAAGUCAUCUUCA